GCAUGACUGAUAGUAAUACCUUGGAGUGCCAUCAACAGGAUCACACAAACCGGCAACCAGCACCUGUGGAGUAGUGAUAGAGCAUGUUAUGGUUGGGAACGAGACUAGCAGGGUUAUAAACAGUGGCCUAGCUGAAUAUGAAAGAAAAGCUGAGCAACCAAUCAUAAUACUGAUGUGAAAGGCCCAUAUUGGCACUGACAUGUGGGUGCAUUCCAAAGAGGUAGUCAACCUAAUGGACAUGUUGCAACAGAUGUAAUGUUCCUCCCCAUUGAGUAUUUUCCUUAGGCCUAGUUCUUAAUCUGCCUAAGGAACUGUUACUUUACUGUACUUGAAAUGCCUUCAGACUAGACUGUAUCCAUAUCUAAAGACAAGCUUGUGCAAUGGCUCUUCAAAUGGAAAAAGGCCUGAACAGGUUGGCUCUCUGAAUGGACACAUCCCCAGAGCAGGGAAACAGAGCACACCUAACCAGCCUGAGAGGAUGUUGUCACAGGGGGUAUUUGGAAGCCCAGUAGUCUCUGUAGACAGAGUCAUUUCCCUGAUAUGUAGAACCCAUAGCACCAGGCCCUGCAACCUGCCUCAACUAACACCCGUACCCUGUCAUAACACACACACCUUGCCCUGCCACAACUGGGUAAAUGAAGUGUCAUCAAGGACAGACACUCUGAAGAGUUUUGUGAUUAUUGCAUCAUUGGUCCAGAAGCUAUGGCAAAAUCAUUAUACAUUAUUUAUUGGACACGUGUAGGCUAUCUAUACCUUAUCUAAAAUAAUCUCUAUUUUCUUUAAAGACAACUUUAUUAAGGCAGGGUAACAAGUCCUGUGAAGGAAUUCAUUAUAAAAGUGUAUUGCAACAGA